UUGCUUCAGCAGCACUUAUGCUAAAAUUAAAAAGAUACAGAGAAGAUUCGCAUGGCCCCUGUGCAAGGAUCACAUGCAGAUUCAUGAAAUGUUCCAUAUAUAU
ensembl:snRNA U6 U6 spliceosomal RNA